CCUACGGGAGGCAGCAGUGAGGAAUAUUGGUCAAUGGACGAGAGUCUGAACCAGCCAAGUAGCGUGAAGGAUGACUGCCCUAUGGGUUGUAAACUUCUUUUAUAUGGGAAUAAAACGUUCCACGUGUGGGAUUUUGUAUGUACCAUAUGAAUAAGGAUCGGCUAACUCCGUGCCAGCAGCCGCGGUAAUACGGAGGAUCCGAGCGUUAUCCGGAUUUAUUGGGUUUAAAGGGAGCGUAGGUGGAUUGUUAAGUCAGUUGUGAAAGUUUGCGGCUCAACCGUAAAAUUGCAGUUGAAACUGGCAGUCUUGAGUACAGUAGAGGUGGGCGGAAUUCGUGGUGUAGCGGUGAAAUGCUUAGAUAUCACGAAGAACUCCGAUUGCGAAGGCAGUUCACUGGACUGCAACUGACACUGAGGCUCGAAAGUGUGGGUAUCAAACAGGAGUAGAUACCCCGGUAGUC
rnacentral:rRNA from 1 species